rnacentral:rRNA from 1 species
AACGAACGCUGGCGGCAUGCCUAACACAUGCAAGUCGAACGAGACCUUCGGGUCUAGUGGCGCACGGGUGCGUAACGCGUGGGAACCUGCCCUUAGGUUCGGAAUAACUCCCCGAAAGGGGUGCUAAUACCGGAUAAUGUCUUCGGACCAAAGAUUUAUCGCCUUUGGAAGGGCCCGCGUUGGAUUAGCUAGUUGGUAGGGUAAAAGCCUACCAAGGCGACGAUCCAUAGCUGGUCUGAGAGGAUGAUCAGCCACACUGGGACUGAGACACGGCCCAGACUCCUACGGGAGGCAGCAGUGGGGAAUAUUGGACAAUGGGCGAAAGCCUGAUCCAGCAAUGCCGCGUGAGUGAUGAAGGCCUUAGGGUUGUAAAGCUCUUUUACCCGGGAUGAUAAUGACAGUACCGGGAGAAUAAGCGCCGGCUAACUCCGUG